GGGUUGUGAGGUUAAGCGACUAAGCGUACACGGUGGAUGCCCUGGCAGUCAGAGGCGAUGAAGGACGUGCUAAUCUGCGAAAAGCGUCGGUAAGGUGAUAUGAACCGUUAUAGCCGGCGAUGUCCGAAUGGGGAAACCCAGUGCAAUUCGUCACACUAUCGUUAACUGAAUACAUAGGUUAACGAGGCGAACCGGGGGAACUGAAACAUCUAAGUACCCCGAGGAAAAGAAAUCAACCGA
rnacentral:rRNA from 1 species